rnacentral:tRNA from 1 species
GGCACAGUAGACGAGUGGUUAAGUCAUCAGACUUUCGAUCUGAAGAUCGUGGGUUCAAAUCCCAUCUGUGCUUCCA